rnacentral:tRNA from 1 species
GCCAGCAUGGUGUAGUGGUUUGAGCAUUGGACUAUGACUCUGGAGCCCAGGGUUCUAUUCCCUGCUCAGCCA